UGGUAUGAAGAUCUCUGGAAUCUCUCUCGGGGAUGUGACGACCAUGGUGUCUGGAAGCACAAUCGGUCAGGGCGGUGCCAAGACAUAACACGUGUCUGGUUCUGUCAAAUCUGAGUCAUGCUUGUGGGAGCAACGGAGUCACUGGGAUGAUAAUCGACUUUGCUCAGCGAUUCCCCCGUUGGCACAUUUAUUUUAGCUCUCCGGGCAGAGCUGGAGACUCGCUCUACUAAUUCACUAUGACGUUGUUUUCUAAUUAGGUGUCUUGACACAGCAGGCGUUCGGCCUUGAGCGUCUCCUUCGUUGCUUUAAUGUGCCAGCAGGCCGACUUGGAGCUGCCUGGUCUUCCCAUGUGGUACCAUUACCUGUGGUGUAAAAGGGGACACAGUGAGCUCCACGCUGGCACGGGACUCAAAGUCAAGAUGCUGAGAUCAAGAGUUGGACACUCAACCUACUGGGCCACCCCGCUCUCCCUAGAGAUCCAAAUAACUUUUCAAACAUGUUGGCACGUUGGGUAACAUCAUCUCCAUUUUAAACAAAAGAAAACAGAAAGCUCGGAGAAGGGAAGUGUCUUCCUCAGAUUCAUCCAGCUGAAGAGGCCAGCUAACAUGUCACAAAGACCCUCAAGGGAGGCCCGGUGGGGAGACCCAAUGGGGAAGAACUGAGACUCUCUGCCAAUAGCCAGGGAGGAACUGUCAGCAGCCCUGGGAGUGAGCUACCAUAGAAGUGGAAGCUCCAGCCCCAGAGAAGCCUUUACAUGAUGGCAGCGCCAGCCAACGUCUUCACGGCAACCUCAGCAGACACCAUGAACCAGAACCACCCAGCUAAGCUGCUCCUAAAUUCCCAAUACACAGAAACUGUGAGAUAACAGAUGUUUGUCAUUUUAAGCUAAGGUUUUUUUGGGAGGAGUAAUUUGUUACAUAACAACAGAUAACUGAGGCAGGUGAUAUAGAACUUGAGGGCCUUGCCCCAGGACCUGUGUGAGCCCUUGACAGUUCACGGUUCUCAUCCACAGGAUGUACUGGAUCUGCCCGUAGCUACUCCUGCAGAUGUUUCUGCUGAAGAUAGUUGACUUUUCUUCAGAUGAGACUCAGUCUAGCUCUUAAAUAUUUGCAGGUGACUAGGAAUUUGCCUCAUUGUCUGGCAGCCCAGAAGGCGCUCACUUUAGGCAAAAGCUCUAAUUAGAGCACUUGUUGGGGAGGCCAAGGAGGAACUGACCUGGGGUGUGGUGGUGGGCACCCGUAGUCCCAGCGACUUGAGAGGCUGAGGCAGGAGAGCCGGUUGACCCCAGGAGCUCUGGGCUAUAGUGUGCUGUGCCCACUGGGUGUUGGGUGUUCACACUAAGUCUGGGAUCAAGAUGGUGACCUUUAGAGAGCAGAUGACCACCAUGUUGUUUAAGGAGGGGUGAACCAGCCCACAUUGGAAACAGAGCAGGUCAAAACUCCUGUGCUAAUCAGUAGUGGGAACGUGCCUUUGAAUGGUCACUGCACUUCAGCCUGGACAACGCAGAGCGACACUUUCUGUAAAACGUAUACAUGAGCAAAAAGAACAGACCUUGUGUGAAGAUUUGUUGAAGCUCACCUCAGGCCCCCAGAUGUUUGAAGCAGAUGGCAGGCCCAGGAAAUUGCUCAUGUCAUCCAUGUAUAGACCCUCCUUGUUCUAUCCCUGUAUGAAAUUGUUACAAGAAAGCAAAGAGCCUGGAACAUGUAAUCUCAUAUUUAUCAGGGAACG